rnacentral:rRNA from 1 species
UACGAAGGGGGCUAGCGUUGUUCGGAAUCACUGGGCGUAAAGGCGCGUAGGCGGCCAUAUAAGUCGGGGGUGAAAGCCUGUGGCUCAACCACAGAAUUGCCUUCGAUACUGUAUGGCUCGAGACCGGAAGAGGUAAGUGGAACUGCGAGUGUAGAGGUGAAAUUCGUAGAUAUUCGCAAGAACACCAGUGGCGAAGGCGGACUUACUGGUCCGGUUCUGACGCUGAG